GGCUUCGUGGUUUAGUGGUAUAAUUCUCGCUUAGGGUCACACCCUCAGCUCAUCUGCGAGAGGUCCCGGGUUCGAUCCCCGGCGAAGCCC
rnacentral:tRNA from 8 species